ACUGAGUUCUCAGGAUUGCGAAGCUCCUCUGCUUCUCUUCCCUUCGGCAAGAAACUUUCUUCCGAUGAGUUCGUUUCCAUCGUAUCCUUCCAGACCUCUGCAGUGAGUUCUCUUUUUCCUCCAACAUUGUCUGUAGCUUGCGUGUUCUGUCUUAUGAUGCAAUGUUAUGAGAUGAAAUGUUUGUAUCAAGAAAUAAGCAUUGUGUAUUGAUAGAUCGGAUAAAUUAUGUGAUCAGCCUUUUGGUCGUUUGCUUCUGUCUCUUGCUGUUUUGUGAACUGUUUGGAUGGUUCUGUGUGUUUGUGUCAGAUGGGAAGCAGUGGUGGAUACAGGAAAGGUGUGACUGAGGCCAAGCUUAAGGUGGCCAUCAAUGGAUUCGGUAGGAUCGGGAGGAACUUCUUGAGAUGCUGGCAUGGUCGCAAAGACUCUCCUCUUGAUGUCAUUGCCAUUAAUGACACUGGUGGUGUCAAGCAGGCCUCGCAUCUUCUUAAAUACGACUCUACUCUUGGAAUCUUUGAUGCUGAUGUCAAACCUUCUGGAGAGACUGCAAUCUCUGUUGAUGGAAAGAUCAUCCAAGUUGUGUCUAACCGAAACCCUUCUCUUCUCCCCUGGAAGUAAGUCAAUACAGAACUUUAUGUGUCUGAAUUUAAUUGAUCAGUCUUUUUUUCUGAAAUCUAGAUAAGUAUUUGAAUUGGCUUAUGGUUGAUAUCUUAGGGAGUUGGGAAUUGACAUUGUCAUCGAAGGAACCGGAGUGUUUGUCGAUAGAGAAGGUGCAGGGAAACACAUUGAAGCUGGAGCCAAGAAGGUUAUCAUUACUGCUCCAGGCAAAGG
rnacentral:lncRNA from 1 species